rnacentral:lncRNA from 1 species
CCACCACGCCCAGCUAAUUUUUGUGUUUUUUUUGGAGACAAGUUUUCACCAUGUUUCCCAGUCUGGUCUUGAAAUCCCGGGUUCAAGCAGUCUGCCCAUUUGGGCCUCCCAAAGGGCUAGGAUUAUAGGCAUGAGCCACUGUACCUGGCCCUUAGUAAGUUUUUUUUUUUUUUUUUGAUAAUUAUUUCAGAUUCAAUGGUAACUUCUAAACUUCAGAAAAGUCUUUAACAGAAAUUCCCAAGGAAGUAGCUCCUACAAGAGAGAAAUGGACUCCUUCCUCUCUUCUCUGUUCUCAGGUCAUUUGUCCUGCCUCAGCCUCUCCAGAUGGUGGGCCUCUGCCUGGGGAGGCUCUGGAGAGGCUCUGGGAAGUGACUCAAGACCAAGGGGAAGGAGAAAGGUCUGCUCUGGGCUCCUCAGCCCUGAAAGGAAGCCGCAGUGUCCUUACUGCAGUAGAAGUGAUAAGCUCCAGAGAUGUUUCAUGCCAAAGACUUCCUAAGACUUCCUGGUCCACUGGGAACCAGAGGAGUGAAUUUUGCGACACUGGUUGCUAUGGCUACACGUAUUGGACCCCUAAGCCCUGGAAGCUGGGGUCAGAGAGAGUGGACAUCCUCACUGCUCCUGGAGGGACCAAUGCAACAGGGGGAGCAAAGAGGGAAGAGAGAAGCCCCUCCCAUUCGCUUCUACUGGGGCUUGUUAAGCCAUUGCCUUGGGGGCCGGCUGAUCAGCGGCAGCCAACAGCCGGCGGCUUCGGCAGGCAGAAGCAAGGACAGCCUGUGGCUACUGCAGCCCCACUGCCCGGCCACUCUUCAUGACGGGAGAGUGCCUUGGGAGGAAUGUAAAGGCAAACCACGAAACUGGCAAAUGCAUGAAGUCAAUCUCCAUGGUGCACUUCCACUCCAGGGACUGUACGAGAGGAAAAAAAGGUGCUUCAUAUCCCAACCAAAAGUAUUCUCUGUCUGA